AAUACUUGACGGCCAGUGGAGGUUUGUCUUCACGGAUGCUCAGAAUGGCCUUGAACAAGUCAUCUAGAAACUUCUGCAGCGUGCCCUGCACAGCAACCAGAUGGCCACCAUCCGCUCAGGACCAUGUGUAGGAGUCUUUCACUGCGGGAGGAAAAAGACACACAAUAAAUAAACAAGAGAAACACAAAUGGAGAUGAAAAAGAUGAAGAAAGGAACUGAGUGAAAUGCAAAGCGCCAAAGAGACAUGCGGAGAGAAGGCAGAAAGAGAGACCCAGAGAACGAGGCAGAGAGAACGUGAGAGGCUCUGACACAGACUGACAGACAAACCUACGGUGCCAGGAGGAAGAGGGAGAGACAGUCACAGAGGGAGACGGAAAGCAGCCCUGAGGAGGCCUGGCCACAGGCCCUGCCCGAGCAGCUCUGCGGCGAGGAGGACUGGCUCGGCCCCUGCCCCCACCACGGAGGCCACAGCCCGGCCCAGCCUAGACACCCUCCCCAUGUCCACCAGCGCUACCUCGGCCCAGCGUGUUGUCCUUCUUGUCUGUGAGGCUCAUGGCCAGGGA